AAAGACGAAGAUGGUUGAGACAAAAGACACAGAGCGAGCCAUGGAUGAGAGAGUGAGCAAGUUUGAAGAACAACUGAAGAAGCUGGGGUUGAUAGCGAAAUGCAAUGGAGCUGCUUUGCCUUAAAUAGAGAUCAUCAAGGUAAAAACAUGUGGUAAUAUUUCUUACUUACAUUAAAUUACUUAAUCAAUUAUUUAGUAAUUUUAAUUGCAUCUUUUAAUUCAUUCUUCAACUUUUAUUUUAUUAUUUUUUAAUUAUUAUUUUUUAAUUAAUUGUACAAAAAGUGUAUUCUAGCCACUUUUGAGAACUCGUGAAAAUAUAGCAAGAUUGAGUGAAUCUAUAAAGUUUAGAGUAAUAAAAAAUGUAAAAAAAAAAAAUACUGAAUUUAAAUAGUUUUUUAAUUGAAUUUUAUACCGGGAAUUUAAAAUUUCUGAAGAACUAGUUAAAGAUAAUAAAUUUCGAUAUUCAACUUAAACAAGUUAAAAAUUAUAAAAUAGUUACUAAAUAAGGAGUUUAACUAUGACAAUGAAUAUAAAAAUGAAAAGAAAAUAAUUUAUACUUUCGAGUCCUGAAUUAUAUAAUGAAAAGAAAAUAAUGUUUUCUGGUUUGCAUUAAGACCCUGUUUGUUUUAAAAUGCUUUAGGAGAAAAAGAUGAUUAUUUGUGAAAUGAAUGAUCGAGAAAAAGGUGAGGAAGCAUCAUUAUUGAGAAGCGGUGGUGAUGAGAGAGGCUUUAUCGCUUUGAGACAAUCUUUAUGACAAACACGGUGUCGACCUUCAGCUUUUCCAUUUUCACGUUUUUUUAACAUUUCAGAACUCAUCACUACACGUAAGCGCGUUUCCUUCUUUGCUCAUUCUGUAUCACAUGGGCUGGUAAGUGGGUCCCUUCGCUCGUACCAAACAGGACCUUUCGCUCACUUUUUUAUUUACUUUUUUUCAUUUCUUUGAAUUUGGUUGUAGAGUAUUACGUAUUCAUAUUUCUUUAAACAUCACUUUUUGUAAAGAGGGAAUAGACAGAAGAAAUAGAAAAUAUGGGGAUGGAAUUAAGAGAAUUAUUAUUAUUUUUUUCGGUUGGUCGAUCGAAUUAUUUUAUUUUAUUAUUUUAACGAUUUUCUCGUACUUAUCUUGUUUAUCUGUUUUUCGUUUUUUUAAAUUCUAUACUUUGAUAAUACUUAUAAAAGACAUUCUUACAUUAAAGUAAGACUACUCGGUGUUAUUAGUACUGGAUGAUGAAGUACUUGAUUCUUGAAAUCUGUAUCUACUUAUAUGAUUAUCAUGGAUAUUUUAUUGGACCGGAUUAAGG
rnacentral:lncRNA from 1 species